CACGAAGGGGGGCUAGCGUUGUUCGGAAUUACUGGGCGUAAAGCGCACGUAGGCGGACAUUUAAGUCAGGGGUGAAAUCCCAGAGCUCAACUCUGGAACUGCCUUUGAUACUGUCGAUCUGGAGUAUGGAAGAGGUGAGUGGAAUUCCGAGUGUAGAGGUGAAAUUCGUAGAUAUUCGGAGGAACACCAGUGGCGAAGGCGGCUCACUGGUCCAUUACUGACGCUGAGGUGCGAAAGCGUGGGGAGCAAACAGG
rnacentral:rRNA from 1 species